CGCAAGCCUGACGGAGCAAGACCGCGUGAGGGAGGAAGGCUCUUGGGUUGUAAACCUCUUUUAUCAGGGAAGAAGAUCUGACGGUACCUGAUGAAUCAGCAUCGGCUAACUCCGUGCCAGCAGCCGCGGUAAUACGGAGGAUGCAAGCGUUAUCCGGAAUUAUUGGGCGUAAAGCGUCCGUAGGUGGUUUUAAAAGUCUGUUGUCAAAUCGCGAGGCUUAACCUCGUACAGGCAGUGGAAACUAUAAGACUAGAGUGCGGUAGGGGUAGAGGGAAUUUCCAGUGUAGCGGUGAAAUGCGUAGAUAUUGGAAAGAACACCGGUGGCGAAGGCGCUCUACUGGGCCACAACUGACGCUGAUGGACGAAAGCU
rnacentral:rRNA from 1 species